rnacentral:lncRNA from 1 species
ACACUCCUGAGCCAGAGGAAAAGGGAGAUAAGAUAACCUAGCUGGUAUCACACAUAACCUGGAAUAUCCACAUCCACUUUCUGGUGUCAGCAGACAUUUAUAGCUGAGUCUUCUAAAUGCUGAGCGUGUGCUGUUCUACAGAAAAUAGAAAGAGAAAAUCAGCCUAGUGGGGUGAUCUGUCAGUUCCCAAAAUAACUGUUCCAGGAAGGUGCAUCAUCCUACAGGACGUGGAUUUUUCUUCAUUGCAAGUGGAGGUGUUAGAUCUGAAAGGCUUCAGUCAUAGGAUCAUGGGAAAAUUGCUUGCAGAUUGUGAGGAAGAGGCAAGACCAAGAUGGAAUUUGUGUAGACAAAGACUUUUGAACUUUGAUCAAUUGCAAACAGAGAGCACCACGUCCUAGUCAGUUCGAGUGCAGAUAAGUAAAUUAUAGCAGACAGUAACUAAUAUUUUUUUGUCUAUGUCUGGAAAUCAGUUGUUGAACAAUAAUUAUUAUGAAUAGAUUUCUGUGCCUAUUAAGGCACUAUCAAUC